UUAUUGAUGGUUGAGUGGUUAAGUUGCUGGACUUUGACUAGCGUUUAUUCAUUAUUGUUAGGUUCGAAUCCGAAUUUAGUGAU